rnacentral:lncRNA from 1 species
UCUUUAACAAAGUAUUAAUUAAGGACAUAUAUAGAGAGAAUCACAUAUUUGUAAACUGUAUUUUAUUAUAAUUUUUAAAGUAAAAUUUAUACAAAAAUAAAUAAAUUAAUCACUGUCAUGAUCUAUUCUUAUUUUAAAUUAUUAGUAAAGACCAAGGCUUGCAAAUUGCAACUUUUUUCUAUCAAGCAAGUAAAUUUCAAAAGAGUUUUGAACUAAAGUCUUAUAAAGUGAGCUUCUAUGUAUAAUUACCCUUUGGAAACACACACCAACAACUCAAUAUAAUCUUUCUCACAAGUGAAUCCAUCAUACCUAUGUAAUUUUUUUUAUUUUUAUUUCAAAUUAUAUUUACAAAUUUUGAUAUUUUAUAAGAACUCUGUCUAUUACAAUAACUUGAGGACCUCAUUAAAUAUUUUAUUAUUGUUGCCUACUAAAUCAUCAAAGAAGUUCAAUAUUCAAAAACAAGGAAAUACAGGCUUUAAAACAUAAGAAUAUAAAUUAACCACGUGUUAAUUAUAAAACAUACAUAAUUGAACAAUUUAAAAACUAUAAUUAAGUAAUCUUAUUAUCAUUAUUAUUAUAGAUUAUUAAAUAUUCAUUGUCCAAACAAGUCAUAACAUACACUUAUCCAUGUGCAGUUUUAUUUCAUUGUUAAAGUAUAUAAAAUUUUGGAUUAUGCUUAAAUUUCAUUUAACUUGUUUAAAAUUGUGUAAAUUUCACUUUAAAAACAAUAGAUUCUUAAAUGGAUGCCGAUAGUUAAUUUCUUAUCUGACAUAUUUUGAUCCAACAUAAAUAGAAGUAAAAAUACAUAACAUAUGAUAGAGAAAAAAAAGUAAGUCUAAGAAGUUACAAGACAUUUUAGCUACAAAUUUAUUUAUGACAAUUCUAUAAUAAAUUAUGUGAAAAUCUGGCACAAUAGAAAUUUUUUCGUAAUUUUUAAAUAAUCUAAGUAUUAUAUUCUUGAAUGAUUUUUAAAUUGGGGGCUUUGUUAAAAUUCAUUGUAAAUGUUAAAGUUUUAAUGAAAUUGAUAAUAUGGAACUCAAAAUCAUUUCGUAACGAGAUUCUUCUUCUUUUGCAGAAAUGUAUUUUAUUAGUCAAACAAAAAUUCAAUGUAAGGAAUUAAAACCCGCAGCCAUUUUUACAAAAAAAAAAAAAAAAAAAAAAAAAAAAAAAAACUUAAAAUUGUGAAAUACAUAAAAUGGGAAACUCAAUCAAACAAAGGGUGAAAUAAUUUUAUGUGCAGUAUACAUGAUUCUUUUUAGAUAGUUUCUCUCAAUUAUUAAAAUUUAAUUAAAUACUACCAAUAAUCACUGUUGACCACAUUUGUCUUUGGCAGUAAAGUUGUUCUGUUGUUGUGUUCGAAACCAUAUUAGAAUUUUGGAUCAAAUUCACGUGUGCCUUGGAUUCGAAGAUUUAAGUUAACAAAUAAUAUAUAUACAUAUAUAUAUAUAUAUAUAUAUAUAUAUAUAUAUAUAUUUCAUCAUUAUCCUCUAAAAGAAAUUUAUGCUUGCAAAUUUUUAUGAAUGCCCCUGCAAAGUUUUUGAUACAGUAUUUUCUUUUACAAAUUUGAGAAAGAAAAAUAAGAGAUGAGUUUCUAACUUUAAUCGCCCUUUUUACUGUUAUUUAUUUAUUUGUUUGUUUUAUUGUUGAAAUUAAUUAAUACAUCAAUACAAGUUAAUAAAAUCACGUUAAUUUCUUUGAGUAACCACCCACUUCAACAUACAGGUUACGGUGCUAUUGAUUUUUCUUUAGUAAAAUUUAAACAAUAAAAUUAAAAACACAUAUUCAAUCCUCAAAAGUUUGAGCACCAAUGUGCUGGUCACUUUAACCAUUUAAUAAGCUAACACUCCAACAUUUUAACAUUAGCGUUCAAUUCAUAAUUCCUUCUACAAAAACUUAUAUCAUGUUCACACUUUUUUUUUUAAAAGUAUUCAGAUAAUCCCAUUCUCGUGCCAAAGCAAUGAACAAAACCCAAAAUUUGAUGAAAAGAAAUAUAUACAUAUAUAUAUGCAUUACAAAAAAUACAUAAAAGUUUGAAAAUGGCAUCCCGGAAUAAAAGAUCCAUCCACAUCCGAAUUAAUUAGCUACUUACAAAAAUCUCACUUUAAACCGCAAAAAUAUCAUAUAUUUUCUACUCUUAAUCUAAAAAAAACACAUAUUAAAUUAUAUAAUUUUAUACUCCACUUAUGUUUAAAAAUAUGUUACGUGUUUGUAGCUGCCAGAAUGGCAGAGAAAGUACAAUCUAAG